AAACAAGAUUAAUAGAUGAUAAUAAUUCAACAAAAUAGGUCUCUUGUCGUUUUUCAAUUAGAGCCAUAUUUGUGCUAGAAAACGUGGUAGGUAAUUAUUUAAAAUAACGAAAUUGUGAAAAAAUCGUACUUUUUUUCUCAGUUAGUUGUUUUUAUUAGAAUUACUAUUUCGAUAAUCAAAAAAUGACCUAUGUUUUUACCAAUUGAAUAAAAUUUACUUUUAGAAAAGGU